rnacentral:lncRNA from 1 species
CCAUAUGUGAUAAAGCAAACAACGGUCCAAUCCACAAAGGCCGUCAAGCUUGGGCUCAAGUGAGCCCAAAUUGGUGAAACAACAAGGACCUUACAAGGGUGUGUAAUUAAAUUCGACUAUUAUUCAACUGGGCCACUAGUUUGCCCAGUUCUUGUGAUCCAAAUGGUUCAUGCCCAAGUCAAACAAUGCAAGUCAAACUAGCGUUAACAUAGAACACGAGAUCGAAUUGACAGGUUUAAACUAUGAUUUAAAACAUUUGACACAAAUUAACUAAAAUAAUGUUCAACCUUUAUCUUGCAUUCUUGAGUCCAAUAUGCUACAAGAGUAAUCCAGCAACAAUAACACGAGCAAUUGGGCUUAGUAGACAAGCCCAAUGCAUCAAACGUACCAUCCUCUCUUGUAAAUGGCCCCACAAUCUAAGGCUCCUUGAACCUAAGACUUGCAAAACCAAAAUUGGGAAUCAAGACUUAAUGUCGAGUCCUAUCCAACCAGAAGCCUCAACAGGCAAUUAGCUCACUAAACAUUCUUAUCUUCAAUUGCAGUGAUAACAAAACAACAGAGGUUCAUGCUUGCAUUUUACUUCUAAACUAAUUUCAUAAAUAAACGUAUGAAAUUUAAACUCAUUUAGACCAUUUAAAUGGCAGUUUUAACAAAGUAAAAUAUUACAAAGCUUUCCAAAUUGCAAAUUAAAACCAUGGAUAGCACUUCAAUAUGACAAUUUCUAAUUUCAAACCUGAGGAGCAUCAAAUUGUCACACUCAAACAACCUUCCACUACAGCACUGGUUUCAAACAAACAGAUCUACAUCAUGCUUAAAUCUACUGAGUUUCCUGCUACAAUAAUUUUCUAGCACCCAAUACAUGAUCAAAACGUACAAUACAUCCCAACUAAGCAAAAUAAAGGAGACAUCUGCUCAAUACUAUGACAAAAAUUAAAACUACAAAUUAGUAAGAACCAAAUAGCUAACAUAAGCAUAUGCAUAUUGAUUUUCAAAUCAGGUGAGCCUAAUUACAUUUUUCAAAAAAAUCUCAGCUACAACUUCAAUAGUUCAGGAGAAAUACCUGUGAAACAAAAAGGGAAACAAAGAGAAAUGAGGGUUCAGAAGGCAGCAAAUAGCAGAACAAUACCUAGAUUCCAAACAGUACAAAAACCAAGCUCGAAACCAACAUUCCAAAUCCAAAAGCUCAAAACCAUUUUUACUCAAACGUAGGAAUUCUUAGUUUUUAGGGUUUCUAGCUAAUAGGGAAGGUCAGAAAUCUAGAAAUCGCGCUAAAUUUGGAGCAGUUUUUAGCAGGAAAUGCAAGGAAUUCAGUGUUGUUUUAAAAAAAUUCCAUCGUUUCAGCUUUUUUAGAGUUUUUAAUCUCCUCCCUC